UGCAGACUCUCAAGGAGGCCUUAGCUGCCUCCAUUUUGUUCGCCUAAUUCAUUUUACUUAAUGAAUGAAGCAGCUAGCUUGUUACCUUUCUCUCAAAAAAAAAACUGCAUGCAAAUAUAAAUUCAGUGUUUGGUUUAAUAUAUUUAACUUUAAUUGCUGCAGUAGAAAUUGCAAGAGGAGGACCAACUGGAGCAGUUGGAACUACGCCCAAAUUGGCCGCAGUUUCAACUACAGUAAUUUAAGAAAAUAAUUUUAAACAAAAGAUAUCCGUAUUUCUUUAAAAAAUAUAUAUUUUUUACAUUGAGGGCGCGUUUGGUUCGCUCUAUGAAAGAUUACUAGGAAUAAAAAGAUGUCCGAGAAUCUUAUUCCUAUUCAUCCUAUUACUAAAAAUAUGACAUUCUUGUGUUUGGUUCGUACGGUUAUAUUAUUUAAUCAUGUUAUUUAAGAUUACAAAAACUAUACAAUUAAUUUAUUUNCUAAACUUGUCGAAGUGCUUUACUUUACUCAUUGUUUUAGAGAAAUAAUCAUUGCCUCACUUGGUUCAUUUGUACAUUCAGUGCAGCACAAAUCCGUUUGCCCUUAAUCCAUCCCAUACUUUCAAUCAACCAUCUAAUGUUUAAGUAGGAAAAAGGCUUUUUUAAAUGGAUGGCAGGGAUUGAUAUAUGAGAUGGGUUCAAUGGCUGAUGGAUGCUUUGUAUAUGGAUGUACAGAUACAAUGGAUACAUGCAAUAAUUUUUUUCUCUGAGCCGAGGAAUAAAGUGAAGCACUUAGAUUUGGGAUUUCAAAUGUUCGACUUUUUGAGCGCUAGAGUGGAACUUGAUUAAAAGUUUUGGGACUAGCGGUGCAACACUCUUGUUUCUUUAGUUUGCGCUAUGUUUUUUUUUCUUUUCCCAACAGAUAGUAAAAGCCAGAGAGAAUUUGCUGGUAGACCUGCCGCAUCGGACCAAGCCAAAACCUCAGAGAAUUGUAAAAGAACCCCCCUCUGACAAAGAGAAUGUUAGUUCCUCCCCCACCGAAGAGAAAGUCAUAUUGCCUUUAACCACCCAAAAAGAAGUCAUUAUAUCAGAAAAACCUUCAAUCCACGAAGAUGUUGUAACCGAAAAGCAUCCUGUUGAAACUUCUGAAGUAAAAAUUGUCGACAAGUCCAUAAUCAAAGAAGAAUUAUCAACUGAAAGUAGGGGCAAGGAUUUACCUAUUGCGACAUCAAAUGUAUCCUUGCAAAAGGAUGAAGAGGAUGGCGAUGACUGGUUCGAAGAAGAAGAGACUGGUGAAUCAAACAGCAUGAGAGGCGCUUCUAUUCCAAUAUUAGGGAAUGAGGAAGAUGUAUCCUUCAGCGAUUUAGAGGAGGAAGACAAUGAACAAGGCAGGGAUAUUAUUUCAAGAACAGCGCCUAAUGUGGAAGGUUCUAGAACAAAUACGUCAAGAGGGUGGGUUCAGUUGAACAAAGGUUCUCCACAGACUACCGAAGGCAAUGAUUGGUCAGAUAUCGAAGAUAUCGAUGUGGCGUAGCCAAUGAUCCUGCCGUAUCUUAUUGCGAGGUAUGCUUCGUUGGUCUAUUAUAUCUCUCCAUGCUUCUAGUUUUAUUCUGCUGCUCGAGUUUGUUUGGACUAGCAGAUGUUUUGUACAUAAAAGGCCUCAUGAGCUACUGUACAUCUUUCUACGGUACUUAUGUUUAUUUCCCGUUCUCCUUUGCAUCAUGCACGAGUCAAUGAAUUCCACUCGAACAAGCUGAUGACAACCUGUCUUGAUCAUGGCAUCAUAAAAAAGCUGAAGGUUGUAUUUGCAUUAAUUAUUACAGCAGUUUUCUUGUUGUAUGAUGUCGAUAUGACUUUGCAGUGAUGUGUUUUUUCAAUCAGAACUAGUUAAAUCAAUGGCCACCGAGUAGGAUGAGAUAAGACGAGAGAGUGAUGUUGCUCGAGAAUGAGAAUUUAUUGAAUAUCGAGAUAUUGAGGAUGCGCGAGGUUGGAAUUGUUGAAUCUUAUCAGGCCAAUAAUCCUACAGGAAGGGGAUUAUCGAAUCUCACUGGAGAGGUUGGAUUGUACAGUAUCAGAUUCGCUAAUUCCCAUUGUAGUCAUUGUGACCCAUGCCGUUGCUAAAAUCCUUGUUUCUUUCCUUUCGGACAUUGUUUUUUCAUCUUAUUCUAUUCGAUACAAUUUUGAGUGCUAGAUUCUACAAAUUGUAUACCGCUCUUGUAUUCUGAUGGAGAGGUGUAUUCCUCGACCUCGUGAUUCGAACCUACUUCUCAAUCAUAUGCAGCUUGUUUGUUUCACCUAAGGUAAAAUUUAGAUUGAAUUAAACUUUUGCAUAAAUUAGAAAUCAAAUAAAUUUUAAAAAAAUUAUUUAUAUAGCUGUGAAAUUAAAGUUUUUUUACCUUUUUUUUUCUUUUUCUUUUUUUUUUUUGGCUUGGCUGUUGAGUAGGGCUGCUGUGCUCUCAGAAGCAUGGAGGCCUCCGUGCUCCUGAGCCGUUUUCGAUGAUGAAAUUUUCGAAUCGACGAUCGGUUCCGUUAGACUUGAUUUAGGAUAUUUGAAGUUUUUAGAAAAUAAUUUUUGUGAUUUUUUGAUAUCAUUUACCUAGUGAUCGAAGGGAUUCAAAAUCAAUAAUUUUUAACGGAUGAAAAUAAAAAUCCUAUAAAAAGUGGUGAUAUAGCACUAAAAUUUUCGAUCAGAAAUGNUUUUUUUUUUUGCUGCAGACUCUCAAGGAGGCCUUAGCUGCCUCCAUUUUGUUCGCCUAAUUCAUUUUACUUAAUGAAUGAAGCAGCUAGCUUGUUACCUUUCUCUCAAAAAAAAAACUGCAUGCAAAUAUAAAUUCAGUGUUUGGUUUAAUAUAUUUAACUUUAAUUGCUGCAGUAGAAAUUGCAAGAGGAGGACCAACUGGAGCAGUUGGAACUACGCCCAAAUUGGCCGCAGUUUCAACUACAGUAAUUUAAGAAAAUAAUUUUAAACAAAAGAUAUCCGUAUUUCUUUAAAAAAUAUAUAUUUUUUACAUUGAGGGCGCGUUUGGUUCGCUCUAUGAAAGAUUACUAGGAAUAAAAAGAUGUCCGAGAAUCUUAUUCCUAUUCAUCCUAUUACUAAAAAUAUGACAUUCUUGUGUUUGGUUCGUACGGUUAUAUUAUUUAAUCAUGUUAUUUAAGAUUACAAAAACUAUACAAUUAAUUUAUUUAUUUCUUUAAUUAAUUUUAGAUAAUGCGACAAAAAAUUUCAAUAUCUUUUUAGAAAAAAGGAGAGAGAAAGUAGGUUAGAGAGAGAGAGCAUAAUUAAAGAAACAAAAAGAGAAAUAAAGUCGAGAUUUGAGGGAGUGAGAGAGUUAAGGUUUUAGAAAAAGAGGGGAAGGAAAAGUUUAGCUUAGAAAGAGAAAAAGAGUUGAAAUUUAAAAAGAAAAAGAUAAGUUUAGAGAGAGAUAAUGAGGUUAGAGUGUAAAGGAAAAUAAUACCAAUUAGCUGGCGGGUAGGGAGAAAUAAAAAGAUUAGAUACAUUAUAAUUAUCCCAAUCCAUUAAUAUGAGAUACUCACCCUCCAUCAAGAGAAUGAGAUUAGUACUUUGGGAUGAAUCUCAUUCCUAAGUAAAAUACAAUAUUACCAAUUAGAUUACUUAGUGUGUUUAGCCAAAUACCGUUAUAUUUUUUUAUUACUAUUGGAUUAUUAGGAAUCUUAAAAAAAUAGCGCGAACCAAACGCACCAUGAAGAUAAUCUCAUCAUCAUAUAUAUAAAAUAAUAAACUUUUAAAAAAUUAUUUCUCGACUGCAUGCAACUAAAUAAAUUAUUUAUAAUUGUAAUAUUUUAUACUAUAUCCAAUUAAACAGUAUGCAUAUAGUUACAACUACUAUAUUUUCUAUUACAUGUAUUUUUAAUUAUACUGUAUUCUUAACUACAUCUAAGCAGAUGUUCCCCAAAUUAAUGGAAUUAUUAUUUGAUAAAAAAUAAAG
rnacentral:lncRNA from 1 species